rnacentral:rRNA from 1 species
GAUGAACGCUGGCGGCGUGCCUAAUACAUGCAAGUCGAGCGAACAGACGAGGAGCUUGCUCCUCUGACGUUAGCGGCGGACGGGCGAGUAACACGUGGAUCACCUACCUAUAAGACUGGGAUAACUUCGGGAAACCGGAGCUAAUACCGGAUAAUAUAUUGAACCGCAUGGUUCAAUAGUGAAAGACGGUUUUGCUGUCACUUAUAGAUGGAUCCGCGCCGCAUUAGCUAGUUGGUAAGGUAACGGCUUACCAAGGCAACGAUGCGUAGCCGACCUGAGAGGGUGAUCGGCCACACUGGAACUGAGACACGGUCCAGACUCCUACGGGAGGCAGCAGUAGGGAAUCUUCCGCAAUGGGCGAAAGCCUGACGGAGCAACGCCGCGUGAGUGAUGAAGGUCUUCGGAUCGUAAAACUCUGUUAUUAGGGAAGAACAAAUGUGUAAGUAACUAUGCACGUCUUGACGGUACCUAAUCAGAAAGCCACGGCUAACUACGUG